rnacentral:tRNA from 1 species
GGGCGAUUAGCUCAGCUGGUUAGAGUGCACGGUUCACAUCCGUGAGGUCACUGGUUCGAGUCCAGUAUCGCCCACCA